rnacentral:rRNA from 1 species
GAUGAACGCUGGCGGCGUGCUUAACACAUGCAAGUCGAACGAUGAAGCCCAGCUUGCUGGGUGGAUUAGUGGCGAACGGGUGAGUAACACGUGAGUAACCUGCCCUUGACUCUGGGAUAAGCCUGGGAAACUGGGUCUAAUACUGGAUAUGACUUCUCAUCGCAUGGUGGGGGGUGGAAAGAUUUAUUGGUCUUGGAUGGACUCGCGGCCUAUCAGCUUGUUGGUGAGGUAAUGGCUCACCAAGGCGACGACGGGUAGCCGGCCUGAGAGGGUGACCGGCCACACUGGGACUGAGACACGGCCCAGACUCCUACGGGAGGCAGCAGUGGGGAAUAUUGCACAAUGGGCGCAAGCCUGAUGCAGCGACGCCGCGUGAGGGAUGACGGCCUUCGGGUUGUAAACCUCUUUCAGCAGGGAAGAAGCGAGAGUGACGGUACCUGCAGAAGAAGCGCCGGCUAACUACGUG